UUCCCCUAGUAACUGCGAGUGAAGCGGGAAAAGCUCAAAUUUAAAAUCUGGCGGUCUUUGGCUGUCCGAGUUGUAGUCUGGAGAAGCGUUUUCCGCGCUGGACCGUGUACAAGUCCCUUGGAAUAGGGCGUCAUAGAGGGUGAGAAUCCCGUCUUUGACACGGACUACCAGUGCUUUGUGAUGCGCUCUCAAAGAGUCGAGUUGUUUGGGAAUGCAGCUCAAAAUGGGUGGUAAAUUCCAUCUAAAGCUAAAUAUUGGCGAGAGACCGAUAGCGAACAAGUACCGUGAGGGAAAGAUGAAAAGCACUUUGGAAAGAGAGUUAAACAGUACGUGAAAUUGCUAAAAGGGAAACGCUUGAAGUCAGUCGCGUUAUGCAGAACUCAGCCUGGCUUUUGCUUGGUGUAUUUUCUGUAUGACGGGCCAGCAUCAAUUUUGGCCGCUGGAAAAAGGCCUCAGAAAUGUGGCACCUUCGGGUGUGUUAUAGUCUGAGGUCAUAUACAGCGGCUGGGAUUGAGGUCUGCAGCACGCCUUUAUGGCUGGGGUUCGCCCACAUUCGUGCUUAGGAUGCUGGCGUAAUGGCUUUAAACGACCCGUCUUGAAACACGGACCAAGGAGUCUAACAUGCCUGCGAGUGUUUGGGUGGAAAACCCGAGCGCGCAAUGAAAGUGAAAGUUGAGAUCCCUGUCGUGGGGAGCAUCGACGCCCGGACCAGACCUUUUGUGACGGAUCUGCGGUAGAGCAUGUAUGUUGGGACCCGAAAGAUGGUGAACUAUGCCUGAAUAGGGUGAAACCAGAGGAAACUCUGGUGGAGUCUCGUAGCGAUUCUGACGUGCAAAUCGAUCGUCAAAUUUGGGUAUAGGGGCGAAAGACUA
rnacentral:rRNA from 1 species